rnacentral:tRNA from 1 species
GCUAUGGCUCAAAUGUUAGAGCACUAGCCUUAAGUGAAAAAGCUAACGGACAGUGCCUAUGCCCUGAGUUCAAAUCUCAGUAAUGGCA